UACGUAGGCAGCAAGCGUUGUUCGGAAUUACUGGGCGUAAAGAGUGUGUAGGCGGUGCUCUAAGUCUGUUGUGAAAUCUCCCGGCUUAACUGGGAGGGUGCGGCGGAAACUGGAGUGCUCGAGUAUGGGAGAGGUAAGCGGAAUUCCUGGUGUAGCGGUGAAAUGCGUAGAUAUCAGGAGGAACACCGGUGGCGAAGGCGGCGUUCUGGACUGUUUCUGACACUGAAAAACGAAAGCCAGGGGAGCAAACGGG
rnacentral:rRNA from 1 species